rnacentral:rRNA from 1 species
UACGGAGGGGGCGAGCGUUAUUCGGAAUUAUUGGGCGUAAAGGGCGCGUAGGCGGCCCGGUAAGUCAAAGGUGAAAUCCCUCGGCUCAACUGAGGAACUGCCUUUGAAACUGUCGGGCUUGAGGCCGGGAGGGGUAGCGGAAUUCCCAGUGUAGCGGUGAAAUGCGUAGAUACUGGGAGGAACACCAGUGGCGAAGGCGGCUACCUGGACCAGCACUGACACUCAGGCACGGAAAGCGUGGGGAGCAAACGGG